rnacentral:rRNA from 1 species
GUCCCAGUUCGGAUCGCAGGCUGCAACCCGCCUGCGUGAAGUUGGAAUCGCUAGUAAUCGCGGAUCAGCAUGCCGCGGUGAAUACGUUCCCGGGCCUUGUACACACCGCCCGUCACACCAUGAGAGUCGGAACACCCGAAGUCCGUAGCCUGACCGCAAGGGGGGCGCGGCCGAAGGUGGGUUCGAUAAUUGGGGUGAAGUCGUAACAAGGUAAC